rnacentral:misc_RNA from 1 species
GAUGAAGAACGCAGCGAAAUGCGAUAAGUAAUGUGAAUUGCAGAAUUCAGUGAAUCAUCGAAUCUUUGAACGCACAUUGCGCCCGCCAGUAUUCUGGCGGGCAUGUCUGUUCGAGCGUCAUUUCAACCAUCAAGCCCCCGGCUUGUGUUGGGGACCUGCGGCUGCCGCAGGCCCUGAAAACCAGUGGCGGGCUCGCUAGUCACUCCGAGCGUAGUAAUACAUCUCGCUCAGGGCGUGCUGCGGGUUCCGGCCGUUAAAAGCCUUAUUUACCCAAGGUUGACCUCGGAUCAGGUAGGAAGACCCGCUGAACUUAAGCAUAUCAAUAAGCGGAGGA